rnacentral:rRNA from 1 species
UGGGGAAUUUUGGACAAUGGGCGCAAGCCUGAUCCAGCAAUGCCGCGUGCAGGAUGAAGGCCUUCGGGUUGUAAACUGCUUUUGUACGGAGCGAAAAGGUCUGCCCUAAUACGGUGGGCUCAUGACGGUACCGUAAGAAUAAGCACCGGCUAACGACGUGCCAGCAGCCGCGGUAAUACGUAGGGUGCGAGCGUUAAUCGGAAUUACUGGGCGUAAAGCGUGCGCAGGCGGUGAUGUAAGACAGAUGUGAAAUCCCCGGGCUCAACCUGGGAACUGCGUUUAUGACUGCAUCACUCGAGUACGGCAGAGGGAGGUGGAAUUCCGCGUGUAGCAGUGAAAUGCGUAGAUAUGCGGAGGAACACCGAUGGCGAAGGCAAUCCCCUGGGCCUGCACUGACGCUCAUGCACGAAAGCGUGGGGAGCAAACA